GAAGAAUAUUGUUGGUAGUUUGAUAGGGAUUGUAUUGAAUUUAUAAAUUGUUUUGGGUAGUAUAUUUAUUUUUAUUAUAUUGAUUUUUUUAAUUUAUGAAUAUGGUAUAUUUUUUUAUUUAUUAGUGUUUUUUUUGAUUUUUUUUAUUAGUGUUUUAUAGUUUUUUAUAUAUAGGUUUUUAGUUUUUUUAGGUAGAUAUAUUUUUAAGUAUUUUAUUUUUUUUGUUGUAAUGGUGAAUGGAAUUGUUUUUUUAAUUUUUUUUUUAAAUU
rnacentral:misc_RNA from 1 species